rnacentral:rRNA from 1 species
CCUACGGGAGGCAGCAGUGGGGAAUAUUGCACAAUGGGGGAAACCCUGAUGCAGCGACGCCGCGUGAGUGAAGAAGUAUUUCGGUAUGUAAAGCUCUAUCAGCAGGGAAGAAAAUGACGGUACCUGAUUAAGAAGCCCCGGCUAACUACGUGCCAGGAGCCGCGGUAAUACGGAGGGGGCAAGCGUUAUCCGGAUUUACUGGGGGGAAAGGGAGCGUAGACGGGAGGACAAGUCAGGAGUGAAAUGCCGGGGCUUAACCCCGGAACUGCUUUGGAAACUGUGCAGGUAGAGUGCAGGAGAGGUAAGUGGAAUUCCUGGUGUAGCGGUGAAAUGCGGAGAGAUUAGGAGGAACACCAGUGGCGAAGGCGGCUUACUGGACUGUAACUGACGUUGAGGCGCGAAAGCGUGGGGAGCAAACAGGAUUAGAUACCCCAGUAGUC